UUUCAGUUGAGGCGGACCCAGAAAGGACGCAAG
rnacentral:SRP_RNA from 1 species